GAGGGAGUGGCUGAGAGGUUGAAAGCGAUAAUUUGCUAAAUUGUUAUAUCUUAAUUAAAUAUAGAUAUCAUAGGUUCGAAUCCUAUUUUCCUUA
rnacentral:tRNA from 1 species